rnacentral:snoRNA from 1 species
ACCUGAUGAACACAGAUGACGAGUCUGAUUCGGAUUCCCGUUGAAGAUAACAUAUUUACCUACCAUUCAUGCAUUUUCUGAAA